rnacentral:tRNA from 5 species
GAUUCUGUAGCUCAGCUGGUAGAGCAUAACACUUUUAAUGUUAGGGUCCUGGGUUCGAACCCCAGCGGGAUCACCA